GGGAGGCGGGCGCAGAAUAGGGAGUGAUGGCAGUUUUACUCAGGACAGCUCUGCCACCCUCACUCUCAAAGUGGCCAUUGCUGGCAAGGACACGUCAUGCAUCUGGGUUCAUCUCCACCAGUCUACACCCGACCACCACCACCACCAAGCUGCAGGAUGAGGACAUUGGGCAGGUGCUCCAGAAAGACCUUUAGAAAAGAAACACAGAUUGUUAUUCAUGAGACCAAACAAGGAAGCAAGAAGUCUUCAGGAUGGGAAGACUGACCAUCCUAAAUAUAAUUUUACUCAUCUUA